GCCUCAGUCUCCCGGGGUGUGAAAUGGGGUGGUGGAGGCAGGGUCCUCCCGGCCUCAGCUCCUGGCUGCCCAUCCUGUGAAGGUCCCCCUCCCCGCUUCCCAAGAGCUUCUUGCCCCUGACCUCGCCCUCCUCACAGCACCCACAGUCUCUCCCCCUCUGUUGAAUGGGUGCCCUUUGCCCACAGAUCACCCAGUUACCUCCCAUCUGAGGGGUCGUCCAUCACCACCUCUCUCCCCACAGCUGCUCCCACUUCUCUACUGCCCCUGGCCUGCCCACCCCACCAGCCAGGGCCUCAUCGGUGGGGACAGCCAGCUGCGUAUUGCCGAAUCCAAGCCGCUUCUCUGUCCUCUUCUCCCUGGGCAGAGGCCACCCCCUGCCCAUCCAGGAGGCCACCCCCUGCUUCCAGAACUUUCUUCUCCAGGCUUCUCUUCCUCCCCUACCCCCCUCUUCCUCCUGCCUCAAGGCUGCUCCCCUGCAGACCCCCUAAAUGUCAAGCAUUUAGUGGAUUUACCAGGAGCUGGGCACUGCUCUGGGGCUGGGAGGACUGCAUGCCUGAAACACGCAAGGUCCCUCACUCCCUGGGGCUUACGGUCUUGAGCGUUCCUCGGGGGUUGGACCAGGGUUUCUUCUCCUAUCUCUCCACCCUUCUCCCUGGGUGAUCUCAUCAGUUCCCAUGGAUUUAAAUAUCCUAAAGCUGAUGACUUCCAAGUCUGUCCCUGAAGCUGUGACCUCUCCUUUGAACUUCGACCCGCGUAUCCGGCAGGCCACUUGACAUCUCCCUUUGGGGUCUCCCAGACAUGUCAAGCAGCUCAUGGCCCAGCUGGACUUCUGGAUUUUUCUCCCCUAUCCUUUCCCAGCCAUCCCCACGCCAUCUUCCCUGUCUCAGCAAACCCCACUACAAACCCUCUGCUGGCUCCAUCCAGAAGCCUCGGCAUGCCCCUGGCUUCUCUCCUUCUACCCCCGCUACCAGAAAUCCACCCACAGACCCUGAGCAUCUCACGUCUGUAGGACCUCCCACCGUCGCCACCUCGGUCCUGGCCAUUCCUCCGAUAAUGAGACGUCAUGGAAACCGGGCUGCACCUGCCUGUACUUCACCUGGUCGUGGAGCGCACUGAAGGGGCUACAGUGGUGCCCACCUAAGGAAGGGGUAUGGCUUCAUCCCUCGUUUGACAGAGAAGAGGAGCAAAAUACACACUGAAGGCGCUGGCGAAGUGGGGAGAGACGCGGACAAGCUGGGGCAUCUCUGCUGUGACGUCAGCUUUUAGGGUAGUUGUCCUUUCAACAGAAUAUGUAUUGAGCACCUACUGCAUGCUGGAUACUGUGCCAGGCGCAAGAAAUAGAGCUGGGGGUGUGACUGACAGGACUGAAGGAUGUGCUGUCCAGCGAGAAAGACCAACAACGAAUGGAGCGUGUUCUGGGCCACACUAUAUCCAUUGAUUCUAGCCGUGAGAAGCCGAGGUUCAGUGAGGCUAACUGAUUUGCCAGUGAUCGCAGAAUAAAGGUGGAAGAGCCAGGAUUCAAAGCUAUUUACCCUCCAACCAACCAUCCAACCAACCAUCCAUCCAUCCAUCCAUCCAUCCAUCCAUUCAUCCAUCCAUCCAUCCAUCCAUC